rnacentral:rRNA from 1 species
GAUGAACGCUGGCGGCGUGCCUAAUACAUGCAAGUCGGGCGAACAGAUAAGGAGCUUGCUCCUUUGACGUUAGCGGCGGACGGGUGAGUAACACGUGGAUAACCUACCUAUAAGACUGGGAUAACUUCGGGAAACCGGAGCUAAUACCGGAUAACAUAUUGAACCGCAUGGUUCAAUAGUGAAAGGCGGCUUUGCUGUCACUUAUAGAUGGAUCCGCGCCGUAUUAGCUAGUUGGUAAGGUAACGGCUUACCAAGGCAACGAUACGUAGCCGACCUGAGAGGGUGAUCGGCCACACUGGAACUGAGACACGGUCCAGACUCCUACGGGAGGCAGCAGUAGGGAAUCUUCCGCAAUGGGCGAAAGCCUGACGGAGCAACGCCGCGUGAGUGAUGAAGGUCUUCGGAUCGUAAAACUCUGUUAUCAGGGAAGAACAAAUGUGUAAGUAACUGUGCACAUCUUGACGGUACCUGAUCAGAAAGCCACGGCUAACUACGUG